rnacentral:rRNA from 1 species
UACGUAGGGGGCAAGCGUUGUCCGGAAUCAUUGGGCGUAAAGAGCGUGUAGGUGGACUGGAAGGUCUGGUGUGAAAGCCCGGGGCUCAACCCCGGAGGGUCACUGGAAACCAACAGUCUUGAGUCCGGAAGAGGAGAGUGGAAUUCCUAGUGUAGCGGUGGAAUGCGCAGAUAUUAGGAGGAACACCAAUGGCGAAGGCAGCUCUCUGGUACGUGACUGACACUGAGACGCGAAAGCGUGGGGAGCGAACAGG